GGGGUCAGAGGUCAGGGUCAGAGGUGGGAGUCUGGGGUCAGGGUCAGAGGUGGGAGUCUGGGGUCAGAAGUCGGAGUCUGGGGUCAGAGGUGGGAGUCGGGGUCAGGGUCAGAGGUGGGAGUCAGAGGUCAGGGUCAGAGGUGGGAGUCGGGGUCAGGGUCAGAGGUGGGAGUCUGGGGUCAGAAGUCGGAGUCUGGGGUCAGAGGUGGGAGUCUGGGGUCAGAGGUGGGAGUCUGGGGUCAGGGUCAGAGGUGGGAGUCUGGGGUCAGAGGUGGGAGUCAGAGGUCAGGGUCAGAGGUGGGAGUCUGGGGUCGGGGUCAG